GCAGGGCUGGCUGGAAGGUACCCUGCAUAUUGCAAAAGGGCAGGAAAUGCUCCUGUUCCCAAACUCUGAGAUUUAGCUGCUAAGUAACCUACAAGGACCAGAGUCACAUUCCUGUCCUUUGGACAUGGCCCAAGACCUAGCCCUCUGCUUUCUGGAUCAGCUCUGUCCUAAACAGAUGGAAAAUAGAAACACACACACACACACACACACAAACACUGACUCAAGCCUCUCUAGGUUGGCAGAACCCCUGUCCUCAUUUCUCUGUGACUGGUUCUGAGGUUUGUUGGUCUCUUCUGUGUUUGCCACAGCAACUCCAUUAAACCAAUCUUUUCUGAUCUCACUUUACAGAAGGCACUGAAGUUCAGAAGCGAACAUUCUUGGAGCAGGAUCAUGCAGCCCGCAUUUAAGAUGACACCAUAAUGCCAAGAUGAGCCCAGCCUCCAUCCCAGCCUCUGCCUGUCCCCUCACCAGCUUCAUUCCUGUACCUUCCAGAGCAGAAGGAAGGAGACUCAUCUUGGAGCAGCAGGACUGAGGUGACCCCAUUGACCGGACUCAAGGACAGGUAGGAAGGGUGGAAGCAGCAGACAUCCAGGGCACAGGAAAGCUCAAUGAAGGGUGUCCCCUUACAUGACUUUGGAAUUCCUGGCUAUGGGAAACAUUGGUUUCUCUACUGGUCACUGUGGGUAAAAAGGGCAUCUAAUCCUUUGACCACUCUCCUCAGAGGUGCUGUGGGCUACCUGUGACCCUGCUCA